AUUAUGAAGCAUGCAGCGAGCGCAGCCAUCCUGAAGGCUUCGUGCAACAGAUAUUCAGAGGGCAGUGACUGUUAUCUCCCUGAACAACUCUGUUAGUGACCUCACUCUCCCAGAGGGCAGCUGUGACAUCAUCAAAUGGCGAUACUGCUUCCUGAUAAUUUUAACCCCUGUCAUAACCAGUUAUAAAUUCAUAGAGAGACUUUGCGUUACUCUGCAACCUUCUGAGAUAUCCUCAUUUUCUUUUUACAGAACAACAUCUCCAUUUUACUUGUCUUGUUUGAGUAUGUGGAACAAAGAGUGGAUAGCUAAAUAAAGUCUGUCUAUCCUGGCAUCCCUUACAACUGUUACAAAUCCCUUACAAAUUCAAAGUGCAUUAGUAAAUGAGAGUAUGUUGAGAUUUAACUUUCUAAAUAUAUUCAUGAUCUUUUUUUUCUAUUAUAUCAAAAUCUGUCAGCUUGGCAAGGGUGAAAUGUGUAGUACCACCUCCAUACUGGACAUGCUGAAUAUGGUAUUUACCCGGUAAUAUUUAUGUAUGAACGCCAUAGACUUCCUGAUGUCUAAGAAUGAGAGAUCAUGACUUGGAAAUCUUCCAGAUUCUGGAUAUGCCACUCCCAGCACUGAUAACUUGGCAGUGAUUGCAGUGUUGAUGCUUACAACCUCUGGUAGAAUAACAAUCAUUUCUAAUAUGAAUUAUAUAGCUUUUACAAUCCCAGGUUGACUGUGAAGAUCUGGUUUGAUAAUUGUUUGCAUAAUUCAAAUUACUGUCUUGUUAAGCACAUAUUGUGAGCUCAUUGGCAGUAACAUCUAAAAAUAAAUAAAUCACUCCAGUUAAACUGGAAGGUUUGAACUUCAUUGCAGAAAUUCCAACUCUGUAUUGUUCUGGCAACCUUUAUCUUUCCAUCAUCCUCCAAGCAUCUGCAAAAUAGACGCAAUGGAUUUUUUUCUUAUAUACAAAAUGUCAAAUAAUUUACUUUGAAUACAAAUAAUCACCCUCUGUGGCCUCUGUAGAGAAGGGGAUGGAAUUUUUACACAAAGCUGUAGACAGGUAAAGGAGAGUCCAGUGUUUUCAGAUGGCUCCACUGGUAGAAGCAAUGGUGUUUUGCCUUGCUCUGUCCUGUUGUAGUAAGUGGACCGGAUUCUUGUAUAAUUUGUUAUCCCAAUGGAGCUAUGAAUCCAGGAAUAAAGUUUUAUCUUUAC
rnacentral:lncRNA from 1 species